rnacentral:rRNA from 1 species
UAUCAAAAACAUCGCCUCUUGCUAACUACACAUAAGAGGUCCUGCCUGCCCUGUGACCCUAAGUUCAACGGCCGCGGUAUUUUGACCGUGCAAAGGUAGCGUAAUCACUUGUCUCUUAAAUGAGGACCUGUAUGAAUGGCACAACGAGGGCUUAACUGUCUCCUUUCCCCGGUCAGUGAAAUUGAUCUUCCCGUGCAGAAGCGGGAAUCUUAACAUAAGACGAGAAGACCCUAUGGAGCUUUAGACUCUAGAACAGAUCAUGUAAGCUACUUCCAUAAAAUAAGUAAUAACUAUUGAAUUUCUGUUCCCCUGUCUUCGGUUGGGGCGACCACGGGGAAUAAAAAAACCCCCACGUGGACCAGGAGCACAUUACUUCUACAACCAUGAGCCACAGCUCUAAUGCACAAAACAUUUGACCAUUAGAUCCGGCAAGGCCGAUCAACGAACCAAGUUACCCUAGGGAUAACAGCGCAAUCCCCUUUAAGAGUCCAUAUCGACAAGGGGGUUUACGACCUCGAUGUUGGAUCAAGACAUCCUAAUGGUGCAGCCGCUAUUAAGGGUUCGUUUGUUCAACGAUUAAAGUCUUACGUGAUCUGAGU